rnacentral:rRNA from 1 species
AUUGAACGCUGGCGGCAGGCCUAACACAUGCAAGUCGAGCGGAUGAGAGAAGCUUGCUUCUCGAUUCAGCGGCGGACGGGUGAGUAAUGCCUAGGAAUCUGCCUGGUAGUGGGGGACAACGUUUCGAAAGGAACGCUAAUACCGCAUACGUCCUACGGGAGAAAGCGGGGGACCUUCGGGCCUUGCGCUAUCAGAUGAGCCUAGGUCGGAUUAGCUAGUUGGUGAGGUAAUGGCUCACCAAGGCGACGAUCCGUAACUGGUAUGAGAGGAUGAUCAGUCACACUGGAACUGAGACACGGUCCAGACUCCUACGGGAGGCAGCAGUGGGGAAUAUUGGACAAUGGGCGAAAGCCUGAUCCAGCCAUGCCGCGUGUGUGAAGAAGGUCUUCGGAUUGUAAAGCACUUUAAGUUGGGAGGAAGGGUUGUAGAUUAAUACUCUGCAAUUUUGACGUUACCGACAGAAUAAGCACCGGCUAACUCUGUGCCAGCAGCCGCCGUAAUAC